UACGGGGGGGGCAAGCGUUGUUCGGAAUUACUGGGCGUAAAGGGCUCGUAGGUCGCCAACUAAGUCAGACGUGAAAUCCCUCGGCUUAACCGGGGAACUGCGUCUGAUACUGGAUGGCUUGAGUUUGGGAGAGGGACGCGGAAUUCCAGGUGUAGCGGUGGAAUACGUAGAUAUCUGGAGGAACACCGGUGGCGAAGGCGGCGUUCUGGACUGCAACUGACACUGAAAAACGAAAGCCAGGGGAGCAAACAGG
rnacentral:rRNA from 1 species